rnacentral:rRNA from 1 species
UACGGAGGGUGCUAGCGUUGUUCGGAAUUACUGGGCGUAAAGGGCGCGUAGGCGGCCGUUUGCGUCGGAUGUGAAAGCCCGGGGCUCAACCUCGGAACGGCAUUCGAUACGGGACGGCUGGAGACCGGGAGAGGAGAGUGGAAUAGCCAGUGUAGAGGUGAAAUUCGUAGAUAUUGGCUGGAACACCGGUGGCGAAAGCGGCCAUCUGGACCGGUACUGACGCUGAGGCGCGAAAGCGUGGGGAGCAAACAGG